AUUGAACGCUGGCGGCAGGCCUAACACAUGCAAGUCGAACGAGUGGCGGACGGGUGAGUAAUGUCUGGGAAACUGCCUGAUGGAGGGGGAUAACUACUGGAAACGGUAGCUAAUACCGCAUAACAUAGGAUGUGCCCAGAUGGGAUUAGCUAGUAGGUGGGGUAAAGGCUCACCUAGGCGACGAUCGCUAGCUGGUCUGAGAGGAUGACAGUCCACAAUGGAACUGAGACACGGUCCAGACUCCGACGUGGUCAAGCAGUGGGGAAUAUUGCACAAUGGGCGCAAGCCUGAUACAGCCAUGCCGCGUGUAUGAAGAAGGCCUUCGGGUUGUAAAGUUGUUUCAGCGGGGAGGCGUUACCCGCAGAAGAAGCACCGGCUAACUCCGUGCCAGCAGCCGCGGUAAUUC
rnacentral:rRNA from 1 species